rnacentral:rRNA from 1 species
GAUCUGGCUCAGGAUGAACGCUAGCGGCAGGCUUAACACAUGCAAGUCGAGGGGCAUCGGGAGUAGCAAUACUGCCGGCGACCGGCGCAAGGGUGCGUAACGCGUGAGCAACAUGCCCGUAUCAGGGGGAUAAUCCAUGGAAACGUGGUCUAAUACCCCAUAGUAAUUAUGUAAGGCAUCUUAUAUAAUUUAAAGCUUUGGUGGAUACGGAUUGGCUCGCGUGACAUUAGCUAGAUGGUAAGGUAACGGCUUACCAUGGCUACGAUGUCUAGGGGUUCUGAGAGGAAGGUCCCCCACACUGGAACUGAGACACGGUCCAGACUCCUACGGGAGGCAGCAGUGAGGAAUAUUGGACAAUGGAUGGAAAUCUGAUCCAGCCAUGCCGCGUGCAGGAAGACGGCCCUAUGGGUUGUAAACUGCUUUUGUAUGGGAGCAAUAAGGGCUACGCGUAGUCCGAUGAGAGUACCAUACGAAUAAGCACCGGCUAACUCCGUGCCAGCCGCCGC